rnacentral:rRNA from 1 species
GCGAACGGGUGAGUACACGUAGGUGACUAGCCCGAGGGUGGGAUAAGUGGGGGNNAACACGGCUAUACCCCGGAUGUNNAAGAGUUUAGACAUCUUUAACUAAAGUUCCGGCGCCUCGGGAGGGGACUGCGGGCUAUCAGCUUGUUGGUGGGGUAACGGCCUACCAAGGACUAGACGGCUAGGGGGCGUGAGAGCGCGAAACCCCACAAUGGAACUGAGAAACGGUCGAUACUCGGAGGGGAGGCAGCAGUGAGGAAUAUUGCACAAUGAGGGACCCCCUGAUGCAUUAUCGCCGCGUGAACGAUGAAGGCCUUCGGGUUGUAAAGUUCUUUUCUGGAGGACGAUAGUGACGGUACCUCAGGAAUAAGUCCCGGCUAACUACGUGCCAGCAGCCGCGGUAAAACGUAGGGGGCGAGCGUUAUCCGGAUUUAUUGGGCGUAAAGCGCAAGUAGGCAGCGUAGUAAGUUGGACGUGAAAGCUCCCGGCUCAACUGGGAGAGGUCGUUCCAAACUACAGUGCUCGAGGUUGGAAGAAGAGAGUAGAAUUCCGGGUGUAGUGAUGGAAUGCGUAGAUAUCGGGAGGAAUACCAGUGGCGAAAGCGACUCUCUGGUC